CAGUAGCCGCGGUAAUACGUAGGUGGCAAGCGUUGUCCGGAAUUAUUGGGCGUAAAGGGCUCGCAGGCGGUUUCUUAAGUCUGAUGUGAAAGCCCCCGGCUCAACCGGGGAGGGUCAUUGGAAACUGGGAAACUUGAGUGCAGAAGAGGAGAGUGGAAUUCCACGUGUAGCGGUGAAAUGCGUAGAGAUGUGGAGGAACACCAGUGGCGAAGGCGACUCUCUGGUCUGUAACUGACGCCGAGGAGCGAAAGCGUGGGGAACGAACAGGAUUAGAGACCCCAGUAGUCCCUGUCUCUUAUAA
rnacentral:rRNA from 1 species